rnacentral:rRNA from 1 species
GUCUUUUAGAUGAUAAUUUAAAGUCUGGCCUGCCCACUGAAAUAAAUUUAAAGGGCCGCGGUAUUUUGACUGUGCAAAGGUAGCAUAAUCAUUAGUCUUUUAAUUGAAGGCUUGUAUGAAUGGUUGGAUGAAAUAUUAACUGUCUCGGAUUAAUAAAAUAGAAUUUAAUUUUUAAGUUAAAAAGCUUAAAUUAGGUUAGAGGACGAGAAGACCCUAUAGAUUUUUAUAGUUUAUUAGUUAUAAAUAAUUUAGUUGAUAGAAGUUUUUAAUUUAUAAAUUAUUUUAUUGGGGUGAUAAAUAAAUUUAAUAAACUUUAUUGAAUAUAAACAUUGAUAUAUGAAUUAUUGAUCCAUUUUUAGUGAUUAUAAGAUUAAAUUACCUUAGGGAUAACAGCGUAAUUUUUUUAGAGAGUUCAUAUCGAUAAGAAAGUUUGCGACCUCGAUGUUGAAUUAAAGAUUAGUUUAGGUGUAGAAGUUUAAAUUUUUGGUCUGUUCGACCAUUGAAUC